ACGCUGGCGGCGUGCUUAACACACGCAAGUCGAACGAUGAAGCCUAGCUUGCUAGGUGGAUUAGUGGCGAACGGGUGAGUAAUACGUGAGUAACCUACCUUUAACUCUGGGAUAAGCCUGGGAAACUGGGUCUAAUACCGGAUACGACCAAUCUCCGCAUGGGGUGUUGGUGGAAAGCGUUAUGUAGUGGUUAUAGACGGGCUCACGGCCUAUCAGCUUGUUGGUGAGGUAACGGCUCACCAAGGCGACGACGGGUAGCCGGCCUGAGAGGGUGACCGGCCACACUGGGACUGAGACACGGCCCAGACUCCUACGGGAGGCAGCAGUGGGGAAUAUUGCACAAUGGGCGCAAGCCUGAUGCAGCGACGCCGCGUGAGGGAUGACGGCCUUCGGGUUGUAAACCUCUGUUAGCAGGGAAGAAGAGAGAUUGACGGUACCUGCAGAGAAAGGGCCGGCUAACUACGUGCCAGCAGCCGCGGUAAUACGUAGGGCGCGAGCGUUGUCCGGAAUUAUUGGGCGUAAAGAGCUUGUAGGCGGUUUGUCGCGUCUGCUGUGAAAGGCCGGAGCUUAACUCCGUGUAUUGCAGUGGGUACGGGCAGACUAGAGUGCAGUAGGGGAGACUGGAAUUCCUGGUGUAGCGGUGGAAUGCGCAGAUAUCAGGAGGAACACCGAUGGCGAAGGCAGGUCUCUGGGCUGUAACUGACGCUGAGAAGCGAAAGCAUGGGGAGCGAACAGGAUUAGAUACCCUGGUAGUCCAUGCCGUAAACGUUGGGCACUAGGUGUGGGGGACAUUCCACGUUUUCCGCGCCGUAGCUAACGCAUUAAGUGCCCCGCCUGGGGAGUACGGCCGCAAGGCUAAAACUCAAAGAAAUUGACGGGGGCCCGCACAAGCGGCGGAGCAUGCGGAUUAAUUCGAUGCA
rnacentral:rRNA from 1 species